GCUCGUAGUUGAAAUUCGAGUCAGUUACUAGUUGGCUUUUCGUCAGUUAGUUAAUUGAUUCUCCGUCUACAAUCCCUUUUGCGCUUUAGGGUUGCAGCUGGGCGAGUAGACAAUUUACCUUGAAAAAAUUAGAGUGUUCCAGGCAGGUCUUCGCCGGAAUACAUUAGCAUGGAAUAAUGGAAUAGGACUUGGGUCUUUUGUUGGUUUUAGGACUUGAGUAAUGAUUAAUAGGGACAGAUGGGGGCAUUAGUAUUUAAUUGUCAGAGGUGAAAUUCUUGGAUUUAUUAAAGACUAACUUAUGCGAAAGCAUUUGCCAAGGAUGUUUU
rnacentral:rRNA from 5 species